rnacentral:SRP_RNA from 1 species
GAUGACCCUGCGCACGGAAGCCUCGCGCGGCGAGAUUGUAUACCAGACCAUGUACAAAUUGGAGGCCGACGCUGACGCCGAGGGCUGGCGGGACGUCUACAUCCCGUUCGUGGACUUUCGGAUG